GGGGGUGUAGCUCAGCUGGGAGAGCGUCGCGUUCGCAAUGCGAAGGUCAGGAGUUCGAUCCUCCUCAUCUCCA
rfam:Burkholderiales bacterium RIFCSPHIGHO2_12_FTLL_69_20 rifcsphigho2_12_scaffold_3493, whole genome shotgun sequence.